ACAGUUUUGUUAUUGCUCUUCUUUUUUUCUUCUUU
rnacentral:sRNA from 1 species